rnacentral:rRNA from 1 species
CCUACGGGGGGCAGCAGUGGGGAAUAUUGCACAAUGGCGGAAACCCUGAUGCAGCGACGCCGCGUGAGUGAAGAAGUAUUUCGGUAUUUAAAGCUCUAUCAGCAGGGAAGAAGAAAGACGGUACCUGACUAAGAAGCCCCGGCUAACUACGGGCCAGCAGGCGCGGUAAUACGUAGGGGGCACGCGGUAUCCGGAUUUACUGGGUGUAAAGGGAGCGUAUACGGGUGUGCAAGUCUGAAGUGAAAGGCCAGGGCUCAACCCUGGGACUGCCUUUGAAACUGUGGGGCUUGAGUGCUGGAGAGGUAAGUGGAAUGCGUAGUGUAGCGGUGAAAUGCGUAGAUAUUAGGAAGAACUCCAGUGGCGAAGGCGGCUUACUGGAGAGUAACUGACGUUGAGGCUCGAAAGCGUGGGGAGCGAACAGGAUUAGAUACCCUGGUAGUC